rnacentral:rRNA from 1 species
GAUGAACGCUAGCGGCAUGCCUAAUACAUGCAAGCCAAGGGCUGUUUGGUGUAGCAAUACAUCCAACCACUGGCGGCCGGGUGCGUAACGCGUAUUCAACCUACCCUAUACAGGACGAUAGCCCUCGGAAACGACGAGUAAUACUCCAUAAGAAUGCUUAGAGGCAUCUUUAAGCAUUUAAAGCCGCAAGUCGGCAUACGAUGGGCGAGCGUCCGAUUAGCUAGUUGGUGAUGUAACGGCUCACCAAGGCGAUGAUCGGUAGGGGUUAUGAGAGGAAGAUACCCCACACGGGCACUGAGACACAGGCCCGACUCCUAGGGAGCGCAGCAGUAAGGAAUAUUAGACAAUGGGUGAUAGCCUGAUCCAGCCGUGCCGCGUGCGAGAAGAAGGGCCUAUGAGUUGUAUACUACUUUUGAGAGGGAGAAAUAUGGGCGAUGCGUCGCUCGAUGAUAGUACUUCACGAGUAAGCAACGGCUAACUUCGUG